rnacentral:tRNA from 1 species
GCCACGGUGGUCUAGCGGUUAGAACGCAGGCCUUGUAAUCCUGGGGUCUCGGGUUCGAUUCCCGGCGGUGUUC